CGCUGGUCCCUGGUAAUGGGGACGGCAAAUCUCUCAAAUUCACCCUCACCCACGAGCCUCGCUGCAUUCGUGGGAUUCUGUGGCAGUUGUUUGGAAUGAGAUGGGCUGCCUUGGAUGAUCUGCAGUGGUAAAUUGGAGUUGUUCGGGAUGGGUGUCCAGAAGGUCAGGAAGGUGCUGGGGAUUCUAAGCUCUAAAGAGGCUGAGAAACAGAAGCCGUUUCUUCAGGCAGAUGUGGAAACCAAGCAUUUUCUUCAGUGAGGACGUCAUCAGCAAAAUGAAUAACCCUAAUGGAUUUGUCAGUUGAAAAUGAUAUGCUGAGGCGUACGGAGCUGACCUGUUCACAUGCAAAAACUGGAUAGCGUCUGACAGGACUUGGCAUGACAUAGCAAGGCACUUACUAUGAGAACUUGACAACGCAAUUGCUGCCAUAAGUAGCAAUCACCACUGCAGGCUCUAAAUAAAUUGCAAAUUGUAGUUUAGGGGGAAAACGAGGGCUCUUCCCAAAACUUCUGCAUGUCCUAUCCGAUUUUGGAACUUCACAUUGUGAAAGGAAUGAAGUGGUAUGAUUCCAAACCCUUUAGAAAAUUCAAGUUAAGUCUAUUGUUCACUGUGGGACUAUCCACUGACUGAUUGCUAAUGCUAAUUUAUGUAAAUAUGUUGUACAGAAAAAAAAUUGUCUUUUUGCCAGCUCUCUCAUUAAUCGGUAAACAGUGUAUCCUUGGUAAUUGCAUUCCAUAUUUGCUAAACAAAAAUUGUGUAAUUAAAAUGGAUAAUUAUUUUACAGAGGGGCAUAUCCUGAACUGUGUCCUCAGUGGAGAUGCGAGGCUGACUAUUGUUACUUAGAAUACAACUCUUAAUAAUGUUCGACAUAAAUUAAACGGGAAACUACUGUUAAUAUGAAAAUACAAAAAUAAAGAGCUGACACAGAAAACUCGGCCGGUGAAUCUGGAAUUAAAAACUGCAUCGCCGAAUACAUGAUGAGACGGAACUGGGUCAGCAAGUUGGAGGUUUUAAAACUCGUUGAAGAGCAGGAAUAGGCAAUGUGCUGUUAAUGCAAGCAGAACUAGAUCUCACAAAUUAAUUACGCCCAGUCUAAAUUAUCAUCAUUGCCUCAUAUGUGCAAAUUAUUUGGAGACAGAAUGAACUAUUUCAUCUUUGGAAAAUAAACAUAUUUAAGUUUUGAAUACAAUUUAAACUUUGACAGAAACUCACCUACGGAAUAUUGGGAACGGCGUAGAUAAACAGAAUUUUAACCAGUACCCGGUUUUUAUUUUGUGUUUGAAGACGUGUAGUUCCUAAACAAACAAACCAUCUUUAAAGUUUACAGUUCACUGAAGUAACCGAAAGACAUUGGCGCUACUUAAUUAGCAGAAGGGAGAGAAGGGACGGUUAGUGUGUUCAGUAGAUCAGUUGGUACGGAUUUAUCCCAACUCCUCACACGCCAUCACUGCUCGGGUAUUUAUGUCAUCUUGAAGUCCCUAACAAAUUAAACAACACACACGAAAUUAAAUUAAAUUAAAAUUAAAACCAUCUCAACUCGGAGGUCGAUGAGGAAUAGUCAUGAAUUCCAGGAAAAUCAAGCAGGUUUUGUGUUUUUAUUUGGGGAAGGUGAGCAGAUAUUGACGCUGGCGGAUUUGCUACACAAUUUAUUUCCGAUCAACGUUUUGAACUAAAUUUGAGUUUGACCCAAUAACUUUAACUGUUCAAACGUUUCUGAGUCGAUUCUUGGUUACUUCCCGAGGGCGCCGGACAACGAUCAUGUUUGUUUUGGGGCACUGUAAUCCAUCUACGACCGUUUGUCUGGUUUGGUCACAGUCGUCCCGCUCGCUGCGUGUUCGAGGUGGGGACACUCUGUUAUCGCUUCUUCCAAACCAGGCCACCAUCCGAAUUUCCACUUUCUUUAGUACUUUAGUUCAGAUUCUGUAACUCCCAGUUCGAGCCCAGUCCUCAUCCAUUACUUUUUACUACAAGCUAAAUCACAUCUUUUAUUUUUAGCCGACCAUUGUGUUCAACCAUCUGAUCUGUGGUCUUUUUGUUGCACUUUCGGACCAAGACCCGACAGUCAUUAUUUUCUCUUUUAUCGUCUGCUGUCUUCCUUUGAUUAGACCAGUCAGCCUUGACAUUAUGUUUCCGAGAGAUGCUAUCCAUUACGCUGUCAGCAGGACAAGCUGCAAAACCCUGGCUGAGUGUCUGCAGAAGGAGGGUUUUAUGAGCUCACGUGAUGUAACAUAUUGGGGAGUCCACCAGCGCCCAACAAACUGGAACCCAGAGGUAUGACCUCAGUCGUUUGGUCUGUUUAGAGCAGCGUUUGAUUACUGCAUCUUCAGAGGCACGAGUAUCAGGUAGGGAAUUCGAAAGUUUGGAAG